UUUUUACAAUUAGUUCUGCUCGAGAGCUCUGAAACAAAGAGAAAUUUCGAUUUCUCUUUGUUUCAGAGCUGUCGAGCAGAACUAAUUG